UACGGGGGGAGCAAGCGUUGUUCGGAUUUACUGGGCGUAAAGGGCGCGUAGGCGGUCAGCACAAGUCAGUUGUGAAAUCUCCGGGCUUAACUCGGAAAGGUCAACUGAUACUGUGCGACUAGAGUGCGGAAGGGGCAACUGGAAUUCUCGGUGUAGCGGUGAAAUGCGCAGAUAUCAGGAGGAACACCGGUGGCGAAGGCGGGUCUCUGGGCCGAUACUGACGCUGAGGAGCGAAAGCGUGGGGAGCGAACAGG
rnacentral:rRNA from 1 species